rnacentral:rRNA from 1 species
ACACAUGCAGUCGAACGGACCUUUCGGGGUUAGUGGCGGACGGGUGAGUAACACGUGGGAACGUGCCUUUUGGUUCGGAAUAGCUCCUGGAAACGGGUGGUAAUGCCGAAUGUGCCCUUCGGGGGAAAGAUUUAUCGCCAUUAGAGCGGCCCGCGUCUGAUUAGCUAGUUGGUGAGGUAAAGGCUCACCAAGGCUACGAUCAGUAGCUGGUCUGAGAGGAUGACCAGCCACAUUGGGACUGAGACACGGCCCAAACUCCUACGGGAGGCAGCAGUGGGGAAUCUUGCGCAAUGGGCGAAAGCCUGACGCAGCCAUGCCGCGUGAAUGAUGAAGGUCUUAGGAUUGUAAAAUUCUUUCACCGGGGACGAUAAUGACGGUACCCGGAGAAGAAGCCCCGGCUAACUUCGUGCCAGCAGCCGCGGUAAUACGAAGGGGGCUAGCGUUGCUCGGAAUUACUGGGCGUAAAGGGAGCGUAGGCGGACAUUUAAGUCAGGGGUGAAAUCCCAGAGCUCAACUCUGGAACUGCCUUUGAUACUGGAUGUCUUGAGUGUGAGAGAGGUAUGUGGAACUCCGAGUGUAGAGGUGAAAUUCGUAGAUAUUCGGAAGAACACCAGUGGCGAAGGCGACAUACUGGCUCAUUACUGACGCUGAGGCUCGAAAGCGUGGGGAGCAAACAGGAUUAGAUACCCUGGUAGUCCACGCCGU